AUGGAUAGGGCUCGCUUCUUCGUCAAGCUUUCGAGCAGCUCUUUCAACUGCCGCCUAAUCUCCCAACAUGCUCAAGAACCGAGAGCCGUCCAGGGACUGGACGGCCAUAGGGAGCUUGCUUAUAGAAAGAAGAUAGGCCGGUCAAACAAAAACAACGCGCAACGGGCUCUCCGCUCCUAGUCACUAAGUAGUGCUCUUUUUUCCUCCGGGGGACUCUACCAAGAGGUUCUUUCUCUC
rnacentral:lncRNA from 1 species